UAGCAGAGAUAGCGCAUACUUGCAGAAAGUGAUUGGACCAGUGAUUUGCCCAAAUCACUGCCCCGAUCACAAUGAUAGCAGAAAAUAUAGCAGAGCGGGAAAUUGUUUAGGAAACCGAAUUUUGAGUUUUCAGAAGUCCAAAUCCAACUCAAUCACUACCAAAACAAUUCCAAGAGCCACGAAAGAGUCUCUCACUUAAGGAAUUCCAGUUGCAAUUAAAUUCAACAUCCAAAGAGGAAUCACAAGCCAAAUUAAAAAGGGAUUUCAAAACCCUAGAAGGAUGGAAUUCUUCAGCUAUAAAAGAGCAACCUCCAAACCAGCAGGGGCAUCUUCGGAUCAGCUACUCAGCAUCUUCUCCCCUCACCAGAAAUUUUGCAGCUGUUUUCUUUCCUUUCUUUUCAUCUUUUGUGUAUUUAGACCACCAUGAGUGGCUAAUUUCCUUCUUUUCUAGUUGAAGUUGAGAAUAUUCAGAUUUGUGAUGAAUUGGGAGGUUUAAUACUCCAUUGUUGAACUCUUGUUUGUUUCAAUAUUUAUGCAAUCUGAUCUUUUCUAUAAUUAUUACUUUGCUUUUAGAAUCAAUAAGGGCCCAUUGCUUUUAAAUUGCUUAAGUGAUAAAUUGUUUGAAUGAUUUAGGUCCGUAAUUGCUUAAAUUAUUUGAACAUAAAUAUAAUCAGUUGCAUAACCUAGCCUUGACCACGCGGUUGGCAAGGUUAGAAUUAGGUUUCUCUAAGUCUUAAUGCAGUUAACAGUUGUUCGAUGCCAAAGGCCCCAAGGACGUUGCUUGGCAACUUGUUAACUAGUGUUUGAUUAGCGAACGUUCCCUAAUCAAACUAGAACUAAGGAGGAAUUUGGAUUGUGAGAAGCGUCUUUCACAUCCUAAACUAAUUUAUUGAGAUAAAUAGGAGUAUUAAAGAAUCAAUGAUCAAUUCUAAACAAUCUGAAAUAGAUCCAUACUUCAACUAGAAGCUUUUUCUCUUAUUGAUUUACUCAAACUUUAAAUUAUUGCUUUCUUUUGCUAUUUAAUUUUAAUCAUCAAAUCAAAACCCCCCUCUUUUAUUUACUUGCUAUUUACCUAGUCAUUAUUAGGAAAAUCUUUGGUGUCAAUUCCCUGUGGUUCGACCCUAUUGCCACUAUCUACAAGUUUAUUGUUAAUUGUCUAAUAGGUUUAUUUUUGACGGUUUCGACAACCGCUUAUUAAAAAUUGGCGCCGCUGCCUGGGAAUUGAUCUAACUAACGUAUUUUCCCUUUAUGACCAGGUCUGGCCGUAAAGACACUCUUCUUUACGAUCCGGAGAUUGAGAAAACCGCCAAGAGCUUAAGGAAGCAAGCAAAUUUGAGGAACCAAGCCUCAAAACCAUCUUCAUCAACAACUCCACCUCAUAGACCACCUACUGCCCCUGCUGAAGAAAUUUCUGCACCAGCAGAAACUUCCACCACCGCACCUGCUACAGCAGAAUUUACACUAGAAACUGAAUUUCUGGUUAUGGCAGAAAAUCCAGAAAUGGCAGCACCACCUGCUGCACAUAUAGAAGCUGAAAUACAAGCUGGAAACGUGCCCAUCCAAGCACCUCAGCCACGGGAAAGAACUCUCGGAGAGUUAGCUGAACCAGCAGGAGAUCAAGCACCCUUAUGCAUUGAAUAUCCCCUAUUGACAGCACCAUUCGAGCUAAAGACAGGUCUAAUUCAUCUCCUUCCCAAAUUCAGAGGCCUAGAAAAUGAAGAUCCUCACAAGCAUUUGAAGGCAUUCCACGUUGUGUGCUCAACCAUGAGACCCCAAGGUAUUCCAGAAGAAGAUAUCAAGCUUAGAGCCUUCCCUUUUUCCCUUGAAGACUAUGCCAAAGAGUGGCUAUUCUACUUGCCACCCGGAUCCAUCACAUCAUGGGCUGAUAUGGUAAGAGCAUUCUUGAGAAAAUUCUUCCCAACCUCGAAAGCCAUAGGCAUCCGUCGAGAAAUAAGUGGCAUAAAGCAAAAGCACUCUGAAGGCUUGUAUGAGUACUGGGAGAGGUUCAAAAAGUUGUGCACAAGUUGCCCUCGGCAUGAUAUUUCUAACCAAUCUCUCAUCGAGUACUUCUAUGGAGGAUUGCUACCCUCAGAAAGAAAGUUUAUUGACGCAGCCUGUGGAGGAACAAUUGCAAAAAAAUCACCUCGAGAGAUGAGGGACUUAAUUUCCUCCAUGGCUGCAGCUUCUCAACAAUUUGGAGAUCAAGAGCUGCCAUCAAGGAAUGUAAAUGAGGUGAGUACAUCCAUUUUAGCAUCCCAAAUUUCUGAACUCACCAAUGUUGUCUGUAGCUUGUUGUGGGUCAAACCCAACAAGUCCAGCAGGUUCAGCAGCCCAAAACAUGUGGAAUAUGUGCCAACAACCACCCAACUGAUCUAUGUCCUUCCCUUCAAGAGGAGGACCAGCAAGUCAAUGCUGUUGGAGGCUUCAAUGGGCAAAGAAGGUAUGAUCCCUAUGCAAAUACUUAUAAUCCAGGUUGGAGGGACCAUCCAAAUUUCAGUUAUGCAAGGGGAAAUCAAUAUCCAAGCUACCAGCAGAGGAAUCAAGCUCAAGCUGCACCUCAGAACCCCAAUGCACCUCUUGAAGAGAUUGUGAAGAAUUUAGCAAAUACGAUGCAAAAUCUUGAGAAACAAGUGAGCCAAAUGGCCACUUCAAUGAGCAAAUAUGAGUCUCAAGGGAAGCUACCCUCCCAAACUGAGAUAAAUCCAAGGCAAAAUGCUAGUGCCAUCAUAUUGAGGAGUGGAAAGGAGUUGCAAGACAAUAGGGUUGAAAAAUCACAAAAACAGGCCAUGAAAGAAAUUCUGCCAGAAAGUGAUCAGGGCAGUCGAUUUGCCCAAAUCACUGACCCGAUCACUAGGCAGACUGAGCUGCCCAGCAGUGAUUUGCCCAAAUCACCAGAGAAGGCAGAAAGUGAUCUGCCCAAAUCAACAGACCAAGCAGAAUCCAGUCAAAGGCAGAAACAACAACCUAUGGAGAAAUUCAAGGUACCUCCUCCCUUCCCAAAGAGAUUUGCAAGGUCCCAAAAAGAGAAAGAGGAAAAAGAGAUAUUGGAGCCACUUCGCAAAGUGGAAAUCAACAUACCCUUACUUGAUGCUGUAAAGCAAAUUCCAAGGCAUGCCAAGUUUCUCAAAGAGCUAUGCACCAACCGAAGGAAACUUGCUGAACGUGAAAAGGUAAGUGUGGGGGAGUGUGUUUCAGCUGUCAUCCAAAGGAAACUUCCAGUCAAGUGCAAGGAUAGAGGGAUGUUUGCAGUUUCAUGCAAGAUAGGCAAUGUGGGGAUAAAGAAGGCCAUGUGUGACCUUGGAGCUUCAAUUAAUGCCAUGCCCCUUUCUAUUUUUAACAUGUUGAAUGCAGGUACACUCAAGGGCACCAGCAUCAUAAUCCAAUUGGCUGACCGAUCCAUUGUCUACCCUAAAGGAGUGCUUGAAGAUGUGUUAGUGCAAGUGGACCAACUAGUCUUCCCAGCUGAUUUUUAUUUCAUUGACAUGGAGGAAGAUAAGAGCAACACCACCUCUGAUAUCUUACUUGGGAGACCAUUCUUGAGCACAGCAAGAACAAAAAUUGAUGUGCAUGAUGGCACAUUGACCAUGGAGUUUGAAGGGGCAAUUAUAAAAUUUAAUGUUUAUGAUGCCAUGAAAUUCCCCAAUGAUGUUUCUCCUGUUUAUGGCCUUGAUAUAAUUGAUGAUUUAAGUCAAGAAAUUUUUGAUUUUGAUCAAGAAAACUUACUUUAUGAAGGUCUUUGCAGGAGAGAAGAAGUGGACAGCAACACCAAGACAGACCAUAUGGAGUACUGUUCACAGCUGGUUACAGGUGAUUUGCCCAGCGAUCUGCCCAAAUCACCCAGACAAUCUGCCCAAAUCAGUGAACAGACAGACUUAACAGAAAGUGAUUUGACCACUGAUUUGCCCAAAUCACUGGGCAAAUCAAACAGCAAGCAGACAGAAAACCAGCAGACAGAGAAAGCACCAGAUCUAAAACCCUUGCCUAGCCACCUCAAAUAUGCCUACUUGGGGGCUGGAAAUACACUUCCAGUAAUUAUUUCCAACCAGCUCAGCCAAGAAGAAGAGGAAAAGCUCCUGGAUGUGUUGAGGAAGCACAAGAAGGCAAUUGGGUGGACAUUGGAGGACAUAAAGGGUAUCUCACCCUCAACAUGCAUGCAUCGGAUACUUAUGGAGGAUGAGUGCAAACCUGUUCGUGAGGCACAAAGAAGGCUGAAUCCACCAAUGAUGGAGGUUGUGAAGAAGGAGAUAGUGAAGCUCCUAGACAUUGGGGUAAUCUACCCCAUUUCUGACAGUAAGUGGGUGAGUCCCGUCCAUGUGGUACCAAAGAAGACUGGGAUUACCAUUGUCCCUAAUUCUGAAGGAGAGCUAGUACCCACUCGUGUGCAAAAUGGGUGGAGAGUUUGCAUGGACUACAGGAAGCUCAACACAGUCACAAGGAAGGACCAUUUUCCCUUGCCCUUCAUGGACCAAAUGCUUGAGAGACUUGCUGGAAAAAGUCAUUACUGCCUCCUCGAUGGAUAUUCGGGAUUUUAUCAAAUCCCUGUUGCACCUGAAGAUCAAUAGAAGACCACUUUCACUUGCCCAUUUGGCACCUUCGCAUUUAGGAGGAUGCCCUUCGGUCUUUGCAAUGCACUAGCCACUUUCCAAAGGUGCAUGAUGAGCAUUUUUUCUGACUAUGUGGAGAAAAUCACUGAAGUCUUCAUGGAUGACUUUACGGUGUAUGGCAACUCAUUCCAUGAAUGCCUAGCCAACUUGGAGAAGAUACUUCAAAGGUGUUUAGAGACAAACUUGGUUCUCAACUAUGAGAAGUGCCACUUCAUGGUCAGCCAUGGCUUAAUCUUAGGCCAUAUUGUUUCAGCAAAAGGGAUUGAGGUGGACAAAGCCAAAAUUGACACCAUAAAAAAUCUGCCCUACCCAACCAGCAUUAGGGAGAUUAGAUCAUUCCUUGGACAUGCUGGUUUUUAUAGGAGGUUCAUCAAGGAUUUUUCCAAAAUAACUCAGCCUUUAUGCAGGUUGUUACAGCAGGAGGUACCAUUCAACUUUGAUGGCAGCUGCAAAACAGCUUUUGAUUUGAUCAAAUCACUGCUAAUUUCUGCCCCAGUCAUCCAGCCACCUGAUUGGACUCUUCCAUUUGAGAUCAUGUGUGAUGCCAGCAACUUUGCUGUAGGUGCAGUAUUGGGACAACGUAAAGGUAACUCUCCUCAUGUUAUUCACUAUGCUUCACGCACCCUAUAUGCUGCACAAUGCAAUUAUUCAACCACGGAAAAAGAAUUGAUGGCUGUUGUGUUUGUAUUGGAGAAGUUUCGGUCCUAUCUACUUGGGACAAAGAUGAUUAUAUACUCAGAUCAUGCUGCACUAAGAUAUUUAAUCAAGAAAAAGGAGUCCAAACCUAGGCUGGUGCGAUGGAUAUUGCUGUUGCAAGAAUUUGACUUAGAAAUCCAUGACAAGAAAGGAAAGGAGAACCUUGUGGCUGAUCACCUCAGCAGAAUUCUGACCGAGAUGGAGACAUGCCCCAUCAAUGAGACCUUCCCUAAUGAGCACCUCUUUGCUGUCCAAGAAGAGGAACCAUGGUAUGCUGAUAUUGUUAAUUAUCUUGCCAUAGGUGAUUUGCCCACUGAUUUGCCCAAACAUAUGAGAGACAAGAUCAAGAAAGAGGCAAGGUAUUAUGUGUGGGAUGAGCCUUACCUAUGGAAGCAUUGUGCAGACCAAGUCAUAAGGAGAUGCAUCCCAAACCAUGAGAUCACUUCUGUCCUAACUUUCUGCCACUCUUACAGCUGUGGAGGUCACUUUAGGCCACGCAAGACAGCCUUGAAAGUUCUUGAAAGUGGGUUAUUUUGGCCUAACAUAUAUAGAGAUGCUUAUUUAUUUUGUAGGUCAUGUGCAAGAUGCCAACAAACAGGAAACCUUGGCAAUAGAAGUGAAAUGCCACAAGCCCCCAUCAUGGUGUGUGAAAUCUUCGACAUAUGGGGCAUUGACUUCAUGGGACCAUUCCCACCUUCCUUUGGCAAUACCUACAUACUUCUUGCUGUAGAUUAUGUGUCCAAGUGGAUUGAGGCCAAAGCAACAAGGGCUGAUGAUGCAAAAACAGUGUGUGAUUUUGUAAAAUCCCACAUUUUCUCAAGAUUUGGACUGCCCAAGGCCAUAAUCAGUGACCGAGGCACCCAUUUUUGCAACAAGGUGGUAGAAACUCUCCUAAAGAAGCACCAUGUCAUCCAUAGAACCUCUACCGCCUAUCAUCCUCAAACAAAUGGGCUGGCUGAAGUGUCAAAUAGGGAGAUCAAGUCAAUCUUGGAGAAAACGGUCUGCCCAAAUUGCAAGGACUGGAGUGUACGCCUAAAUGAUGCCUUAUGGGCAUAUAGAACAGCAUAUAAAACUCCAAUUGGGAUGUCUCCAUAUAGGCUGAUUUAUGGGAAAGCAUGCCAUCUACCUGAACUUGAACACAAAGCCUAUUGGGCUGUGAAGAGCUGCAAUCUUGAUGAAAAAGAGGCUGGAGUUCACAGAAAAUUGCAAAUCCAAGAGCUUGAGGAGAUUCGGCGUGAUGCAUAUGAAGCUUCAUGGGAUUAUAAAGCAAGGACCAAAGCCUUCCAUGACAAAAACAUCUCCAGAAAACACUUCCAGGUUGGUGAUAAGGUUUUGCUUUUUGAUUCCAGGUUCAAAUUAUUCCCUAGAAAGCUUCGGUCUAGGUGGAUUGGGCCAUUCUUGGUUGAACAUGUCUAUCCACAUGGAGCUGUUGACAUACGGAGCCCACAAACAAGCAAAGUUUUCAAAGUUAAUGGGCAUCGUUUGAAGAGAUUCUAUGAAGGUUUUACUGGUCAUGUUGUGGAGGAGGUGCCCUUGGAUCCCCCUUCCCAAGACUGUUGAGCAAGACAGAAAACAGGGCGCUACUGGGAGGCAGCCCAGAUGUGGUGAUUUGCCCAAAUCACCGGAGUGAUUUGCCCAAAUCACUGGGCAUAUCACCUGACUGUAAAGUAGUAUCAAGUGAUUGGGGCAGUGAUUUGCCCAAAUCGACAGGCCACAUCGACAGGAACAAACCACGAUCAAUCAGGCAGUUGCACCAAAGAAGUGAUUUGCCCAGGUGAUUUGACCAAAUUACCGGCCAAAUCACCAAAUCAGGCACAUCAUCAGGAAAGGCGUGAACAGUCACGUGAACAGUAACAGCCAAGCAACAGCAAGGAAGAAAGUGAUCGGGGCAGUGAUUUGCCCAAAUCACUGCCCAAAUCACCCUGUCAAGAAUCCAAAGAGCCAACAUUGAAUGAUCAGGGCAGUUCACCUACCCAAAUCACUUUAAGUAUAUUUUCUCUUAUUUUUUACUUUUUACGCAAUUUACUGUUUUCAUCUCUUCUUCUUCAAGAUUUUCUUCUCCAACCACCACUCACCCACCGGCGAACUCAAGACCACCAUGGUCUGAAUCAAGAUGAAGGCCACCGGCGGACCAUUCAUGUGGAAGAAAUUAGGGCUACCGAGACCACCCAGUCCCUCUGACAGUGAUGACGAAACAUGGGACGCACCACCAGUCCACACCAGCACCGAAACGCCACCGACUACGGGAACAACAUCAGGACGCACCGACUCACCGGCUGUCCAGACAUAUCGCCGACAAAAGAAACGGCCAAGGACGCCGACACCACCUCCACCAUCCACAUCCCCAAUAGCCCCGACAGCAAACCCUGCAGGCGAAACGCCACCAGAAGCCACCACUUCCUCCGGCCACGGACAGAAACGGCCAAGAACGCCGUCACCACCCUCACCGUCACACCUAGAACAAGAAACAGAGACUGCCAUUGCCAUACAUCCCGCAGGACACAAAGAAAGCGGUGCGCCCAGUGAUUUGACCCGUAAUGUGCCCAGCACUAUGCCUAGCAAUGUGCCAAGCGCUAUGCCCAGAAAUGUGCCCACUAAUGCGCCCAGCAAUUUGCCCACUGAUACGCCCACUGAUGCGCCCAGCGAUAUGCCGAGUGAUUUGCCCAGCGAUCUGCCCAGACCAACAUGCCCUGAUCACAUCACUCAAGCCCUGAAAUUCAACAAAAUUUCUGAGCAGACCGGGCUGGCCAAAAUAUCAUCUCUUCCAUAUCAUCCAGGCAAAUACAUCCAUCAUGGCACCCUUCGCGUACUGAGACUCCAAAAUCAGGUAUGCUCCCUCAUUUCUGCUGUUGGUUGGGAGAAAUUCUUCUUCCUUCGCAUGCCCUCAUUCCUUGAACUCACACAGGAGUUCUUCACCACAUUUUAUUUUAACAGACCUGCCAUGCACAACCUGCACACACAAAGCACAGUGGGGUUCAGAUUAUUGGGACAGCAAUUUCGCUUGUCCCUGCAGGAAUUUAGCAAUGCCAUGGGCUGUGAAUGCCCCCAGUCUACUUGGGACUUCCCUGCUGAGUUCAACCCAAGUUCUGCAUACUUGGAGUUAAGUGAUAAUUCCCCAGACACAUACUCACCCACCAGGUCCAAGGACUUAUACCUCAGCAACCCCAGCCUGAAAUACAUCCAUAGAUUUCUGGCUUAUACAUUUUCUGGGAGGAAGGAUGCUUCUAACAUCCUGACCAAAACUGAGUUAUAUAUUCUUUGGUGCAUGCACACUCACAGAAAAAUCCAUCUUGAUAUUGGGUUGCCACCCAAAUAUCCAACAUCAUACAAUACCACAGGCCUCUGAUUUUUGGCUCUUUGAUCACUGCCAUUGCAGUGAAUCUCAAAUUAUUGCACCCAGCACAUACUGACCUUUCCCCCACCCCCAAAACAACCCCCUUAGACCUACGCACAUUAGAUGACAUGGGGUUGCUUUGCAAAGUGGGGGAUAUUUUUUCCAUUGCACUUGCAGGUCCAGUAACACCACGCCACGAGCGUGUUUUCAAAAGAAAGAAAGCCAACAAUACCACCACCCAACAGCCAGCCUCCAUCGUUGCCCUAGCAGAUGGGACAACACAGGAAAUAGGGCAGGAACCAGCACCAGCAUAGGAAGCACCCCCAGCAGCCCCCCAGCAGGAUGCCCAUCAGCCACCUGAAGACAAAGCCCCCAACUAGACAAUAGAGGCUCGUCUCACUAGAAUUGAGGACCGAAUGCAACGGAUGGAGCACCUAUUGGACUUGCUGGUAGACCAUUUUCUGCCCCAGCACCAUGACAGACAGUGAUUUGACCAGUGAUUUGCUCAAAUCACUGGCCAAACCACCCACAGGCCAGGAAAUCCCUUUCCCUUUCCUCUUUCAUUCUUUAUAUAUAUAUGCUUAUACAUUGAGGACAAUGUUUGCCAUAGGUGUGGGGGUAUUGUUAGGUUAAUUUUGCAUUAAUUCCAUCAUCGAUUUGUUUCUUUUUGUUCCUUUUUUGUUUCUUUUUGCAUUAUUUUUACCCCUUUUUGCACACACCAGAAUUUUUUUUUCACACUUCUUGCACACACACACAGAAUUUUGUCUUAGCUAAUUGCUCUACUCAACAUAGAUAACAAGGUUAAAAGAGCUUCCUUAUCUCAUGACCCCAUUGAUUUGCGACCCCUUUAAGCCUAAAUUGAAUCAUUCACAGUAUGUUACCUUCACUUAGGGAGUUUUUUCUUGAACUGAAUCCUUAAAUUUGCUAUGGUCAAGGGAAAUAAAAAUACAAAUACAUGCAAACAAAAAGUUAGUGUAACUCCCUAUGAGCUGAUUUGCCCAAACUAUCAUGAAAAACCAGCACAAAGCACAAAUCAUAAACCUGUUCCAAUGGUCUAAGACUAUGAACUGAGCCUAAUAGCCACUUGGAGAAGUGACUGACUGAGUAACCGGGGGUGUAUCACCCAUGUACACAAUCGCGUAAAAAGGGCAGUGAUUUUUUCAAGCAAAUAAGUUUCGAUGGUCUAGACUAUGAACAGAGUAAGUAGCCACUUGAACAAGUGACUAAUUGAGUAAUCGGGGGUGUAUCACCCAUGUACACAAUCGCGUAAAAAGGUUAGUGACUUUUUCAGACAAGGAUAAGAAUAAGUGCUGCUGAAAAUAAAAAUAAAAAUAAAAAGAAAGAGAGAAAAAAAAGGGGCAAGUCACUCCUAGGGGUUGCAUUAAAACUAACAUAAAGGAAUAAGCAUGAUUGAGCCAUAAACCUUUCUCUUGACCAUGGUAGGUGAAGGGAAAUAAGGAAAGGAGAGGAUGACCUUGGUGCAUGUACUAUAUACUGUGAUACUUCAGUUUAGGAGUCUAGGGGGGCUGAUUAAGUGGUAUUUAGGAUCAAAAGAAAAGGGGGGCUUGAUUAGCUAAGUUAUUGUUUGCUUGAGGACAAGCAAAAAGCUAGGUGUGGGGGUAUUUGAUCAAGCAUAAUUUAACCAUGUUUUUAAUAUAUUAUUUACUGUUUAUUUACACAUUUUUCUAGCUUAAAUUGUGUUUUUGUUAUGGUUUUGUAGAAAAGGAAGAAAUUGAAAAGUUGGAGAAAAAGUGCAGAAAAUGACAGCAAAAGUGAUUGGACCAGUGAUUUGCCCAAAUCACUCGCAGAAACUGCCCAGAUCACUAGCAGAGAUAGCACAGACUUGCAGAAAGUGAUUGGACCAGUGAUUUGCCCAAAUCCCUGCCCCGAUCACAAUGACAGCAGAAAAUACAGCAGAGCGGGAAAUUGUUCAGGAAACCGAAUUUUGAGUUUUCAGAAGUCCAAAUCCAACUCAAUCACUACCAAAACAAUUCCAAGAGCCACGAAAGAGUCUCUCACUUAAGGAAUUCCAGUUGCAAUUAAAUUCAACAUCCAAAGAGGAAUCACAAGCCAAAUUAAAAAGGGAUUUCAAAACCCUAGAAGGAUGGAAUUCUUCAGCUAUAAAAGAGCAACCUCCAAACCAGCAGGGGGCAUCUUCGGAUCAGCUACUCAGCAUCUUCUCCCCUCACCAGAAAUUCUGC
rnacentral:lncRNA from 1 species